rnacentral:rRNA from 1 species
UACGUAGGGUGCAAGCGUUAAUCGGAAUUACUGGGCGUAAAGCGUGCGCAGGCGGCUUUGCAAGACAGAUGUGAAAUCCCCGGGCUUAACCUGGGAACUGCAUUUGUGACUGCAUGGCUGGAGUGUGGCAGAGGGGGGUGGAAUGCCACGUGUGAGCAGUGAAAUGCGUAGAGAUGUGGCGGAACACCGAUGGCGAAGGCAGCCCCCUGGGCUGAGAUUGACGCUCAGGCACGAAAGCGUGGGGAGCAA